GAUAAACGCUGGCGGCGUGCCUAACACAUGCAAGUCGAACGUCCUUUCCCGCAAGGGAGAGGGAGUGGCGGACGGGUGAGGAACACGUGGAUAUCUACCUCCGGGUGGGGAAUACCGUCGGGAAACCGACGACAAGACCGCAUAGCCUUGGCAACAAGGAAAGCUUUGCCGUAAGGCAAGGCGCCGGGAGAUGAGUCUGCGUCCGAUUAGUUUGUCGGUGGGGUAAUGGCCUACCGAGGCGACGAUCGGUAGCUGGUCUGAGAGGACGAUCAGCCACACUAGGAUUGAGAACGGCCCAGACU
rnacentral:rRNA from 1 species